rnacentral:rRNA from 1 species
CACCGGCGGCUCGAGUGGUGGCCACUUUUAUUGGGUCUAAAGCGUCCGUAGCCGGCUUGGCAAGUCCCCUGGGAAAUCUGGCGGCUUAACCGUCAGGCGUCCAGAGGAUACUACCAGGCUUGGGACCGGGAGAGGUGAGAGGUACCUCAGGGGUAGGGGUGAAAUCUUGUGAUCCCUGAGGGACCACCAGUGGCGAAGGCGUCUCACUAGAACGGGUCCGACGGUCAGGGACGAAAGCUGGGGGCACGAACCGG